UACGGAAGGCAGCAGUGGGGAAUAUUGCACAAUGGGCGCAAGCCUGAUGCAGCCAUGCCGCGUGUAUGAAGAAGGCCUUCGGGUUGUAAAGUACUUUCAGCGGGGAGGAAGGCGAUGCGGUUAAUAACCGCGUCGAUUGACGUUACCCGCAGAAGAAGCACCGGCUAACUCCGUGCCAGCAGCCGCGGUAAUACGGAGGGUGCAAGCGUUAAUCGGAAUUACUGGGCGUAAAGCGCACGCAGGCGGUCUGUUAAGUCAGAUGUGAAAUCCCCCGGGCUUAACCUGGGAACUGCAUUUUGAAACUGGCAGGCUUGAGUCUUGUAGAGGGGGUAGAAUUCCAGGUGUAGCGGUGAAAUGCGUAGAGAUCUGGAGGAAUACCGGUGGCGAAGGCGGCCCCUGGGACAAAGCUGACGCUCAGGGUGCGAAAGCGUGGGGAGCAAACAGGAUUAGGAUACC
rnacentral:rRNA from 1 species